CGCCAAAGGAGAGCUGCCCUG
rnacentral:miRNA from 2 species